CCAGAGAAAGGGAUUCUUGUUUUGGUCUCCUCAUUUGACCGGUGCUUCUGUUGAUUCUUCUCAUGUUUAGUUGUACUUCACUCAGGCAAUCGCGGACAUGACUUUGCCAUGGGAAAACAUGAGCUGUGGUUAAUUUUUUAGCGGAAAUUUUGCGAACGGUGCUGUUUAUUUACAGCAUUUUUGCGCUCUGUGUCCUAAGCAUGAGGAGGCUCGUGACGGUGAAGGUGCAUGUGCAGUGAACAUGUUGAAGAGGAUGACGAUGAGAAGAGAGUGGUAAAGGAAUCCGGUCGGAAAAGCACGAGUAGGGGAGGAUUUUACUGGAGCAGGAGGAUACCAUGUGGGAUUCAAAGGAGAGCGUGUACAAUAUUAUCACCAAGCCUGCUCUGAAGAAGGCAAGGACGCCGCCUAAAGCCCCUGACAAGGCACUGGUGCGCUACAGUCCUUGUUCAGAUUUGUUGUUGCAUUUAUGUACAAGGUAGUGAUGGAGAAGACAGCCAUGAGGGCGUUAAGCCCUAUCCAUACGCUUACAUUUCUCGGCAGCCACAUUAGUGAUCCGAUUACGGUUAAGACUUUGCUAUGGAGAAUGAAGAACAAUAUGAAGUUGCGAGAGACCGCCACCUUUGGAUUACUUCCAGGCUCUACGAAACCUCAGCCAAGCAAGUUUCUCCGGAAGCACUCGAAGGAGCCAAAUUUAACAGUUAAACGUACCACAUCCUCAUCGUUGCCAGUCUUUCCACCUUUGGGAGCUCAAACAUUGAUACUUUCCGCUAAGUUUAAUCUAACAAUGCCGUUUUACCAACGUUUUUUAUUCUUCAUUUUGAUAGUGCACCUCUGCUUCCUUGACGCUUUUUCUAUGAAUUGUAAGAGUUAUGUUUAUUGUUUGAAAUCUGAGGGAGACUUUUCCCACAAACUAUUGCAGGCACCAUUGCAACGGAUAGAUGUACGUCAAAAAAGGCUCCUCUUCCAGAUCUGACAAACCAACCCCCUUUUAAUCGUUUAAUCAUUUAAGGCUAGUAUACUGGCACGUUGACUUCUUCUUCAAGUUGAUGAGAUGUGAACCUUUCAGGUUAAGCGACUAACUAUAGAGAGAGUGAUCAAAGCAAGUAAGAUCGAGCCCUACUUGGAUAUCAAUGGCCUUUUCCUCUGAUGUCAUCAAGGUUUCAAAUAUUAGGCACACAUAGAGACUGUAAGGUGAGACCAAUCCAGAAUGUAGCGCAACGAGAUUUUCUUUUUUUUGAAGGGUAGAGGCCGAUAGGUCCCACUGUCCAAGGAAGGAGGUAUUGGAACAUGAAAAGCCAGGCUUCGGAAGGUUGCCGAUGUACCUGGUCAAGAGAAAAAAUGAGAUUGCUAAGAUUAUUGCGAAGGGUAUUGCUGAGAAACAGGACAAGUGCCAGCAUCCAGGCACUCGCAGGUCAUGACUAAACACCGACUGCUUCAGACAUAUUGGUUCUUCCUGCCGACGAGAUUGCAAAUAAAUAUGUAAUACUAGAAGGCGAUGAAAAGCAGAAGAUAGUCAAUGGUUUAAAGAUCAAAUGGGCUGUAGUAAAUGCGGAAUACCUAAAACUCCCCUUCAUUGCCGACACGGACGCCCAAAAGAUACGGAAAAACAGAUAUGAACAAGAGCUUGAGAAUCUACAGAGGGACAUCUCACUUCUGUCCCGAAAGACUGUGCUGGUAGCAGACAGUGGCCCAUCUCAAAUCAACCCAUCUCUUAUGUAAAUUGCUGGUUUCCAUGGCAUUUGAAACAUAAGGAGCUGCUGAAGAUGGUUGCUACUUGAGAUGAUUAAGCAUGAAUUAAUCCUACAUUUAGACAAGGUGCAGCAAUUUUGAUCAAUCAUUACACAGGAAUAUAGACACCAGGAGAUGGUCGGGAAAAAAGAAAACAAACAAACGAACACAUAAACCAACUUCAGAAACAGAAACACGCAAUUCAAUAGCAUUGCAAUGGUUUAGAUGACCCUAAGUGUAUAAAAUCCAUCUUGAGUCACGAAGCACAUGUCCUGUUGAUUGUUGGUUCAUCAUCAUGCACCAACCUGCACAGUGAUAUUUCUUAGUCAA